rnacentral:rRNA from 1 species
UACAGAGGGGGCAAGCGUUGUUCGGAAUUACUGGGCGUAAAGGGCUCGUAGGUGGCCAACUAAGUCAGACGUGAAAUCCCCAGGCUCAACUUGGGAACUGCGUCUGAUACUGGAUGGCUUGAAUCCGGGAGAGGGAUGCAGAAUUCCAGGUGUAGCGGUGAAAUGCGUAGAUAUCUGGAGGAAUACCGGUGGCGAAGGCGGCAUCCUGGACCGACAUUGACGCUGAGGAGCGAAAGCUAGGGGAGCAAACGGG